CGCAGUCUGCAACUCGACUGCGUGAAGGUGGAGUCGCUAGUAAUCGCGGAUCAGCAACGCCGCGGUGAAUGCGUUCCCGGGUCUUGUACACACCGCCCGUCAAGUCAUGAAAGUGGGCAGCACCCGAAGACGGUGGCCUAACCCUUGUGGGGGGAGCCGUCUAAGGUGAGGCUCGUGAUUGGGACUAAGUCGUAACAAGGUAAC
rnacentral:rRNA from 1 species